UUAAGUUCAGCGGGUAUCCCUACCUGAUCCGAGGUCAACCUUGAUAAAUAGUUUGGUUAUCGACUGGCGCCGGUCCCGGCCGUGAGCGUGUGAAUGAAAUCCCCAUACACUCUGGCUGAUCGAGAAACCGCGACGCCGCCACUGCGUUUCGGGCCCGUCCUUCUUAGGGGACGGUGGCCCAACUCACAAGCCGUGCUUGA
rnacentral:misc_RNA from 1 species